GAUGAACCUCCUUCUGGAGGGGAUUAGUGGCGAACGGGUGAGUAACAUGUGGGCAAUCUGCCCUUCACUCUGGGACAAGCCCUGGAAACGGGGUCUAAUACCGGAUACGACACCCGACCGCAUGGUCUGGGGGUGGAAAGCUCCGGCGGUGAAGGAUGAGCCCGCGGCCUAUCAGCUUGUUGGUGGGGUGAUGGCCUACCAAGGCGACGACGGGUAGCCGGCCUGAGAGGGCGACCGGCCACACUGGGACUGAGACACGGCCCAGACUCCUACGGGAGGCAGCAGUGGGGAAUAUUGCACAAUGGGCGAAAGCCUGAUGCAGCGACGCCGCGUGAGGGAUGACGGCCUUCGGGUUGUAAACCUCUUUCUGCAGGGAAGAAGCGAGAGUGACGGUACCUGCAUAAGAAGCGCCGGCUAACUACGUGCCAGCAGCCGCGGUAAUACGUAGGGCGCAAGCGUUGUCCGGAAUUAUUGGGCGUAAAGAGCUCGUACGCGGCUUGUCACGUCGGAUGUGAAAGCCCGGGGCUUAACCCCGGGUCUGCAUUCGAUACGGGCAGGCUAGAGUUCGGUAGGGGAGAUCGGAAUUCCUGGUGUAGCGGUG
rnacentral:rRNA from 1 species